rnacentral:lncRNA from 1 species
UAAAUUUCCAGACAUUAGAAGGGGAAAGAAAAUUGGCCACUGAGGAGAAAUACAAAAAAAAAAAAAAAUGACGAUGGUGGGGGAAAUGGGAUGGAAUUAGGAAUCUAAAGAGAAAUCAGAAAGUCAGGACACUAUGUGUGGGUGACAGAGCCAGUAAAAAAUUCUCAAAAAUUGGGUAACUUUGAAAGAGUUUUGAUAUAAAGCUUA